rnacentral:rRNA from 1 species
AUACGGAGGAUCCAAGCGUUAUCCGGAUUUAUUGGGUUUAAAGGGUGCGCAGGCGGCCUUAUAAGUCAGUGGUGAAAUCUCCCGGCUCAACCGGGAAACUGCCAUUGAUACUGUAAGGCUAGAAUACAUACGAGGUAGGCGGAAUGUAGCAUGUAGCGGUGAAAUGCUUAGAUAUGCUACAGAACACCAAUCGCGAAGGCAGCUUACCAGACUGUAAUUGACGCUAAGGCACGAAAGCGUGGGGAGCGAACAGAAUUAGAUACCCCUGUAGUCC